GGUUGGUCUGAUGGGAGGGGUUAUCAGAACUUAUUAACAUUAGUGUUACUAAAGUUGGUUUACAGCCCCCCACUGCUAAAUUUGACUGGCUUUUA
rnacentral:Y_RNA from 1 species